CAGGGAAUAUUGUGCAAUGAACGAAAGUUUGACACAGCGACACCGCGUGUGGGAUGACGGAUCUAGGUUUGUAAACCACUUUCAGGAGGGAAGAAAAUGACGGUACCUCCACAAGAAGCCCCGGCCAACUACGUGCCAGCAGCCGCGGUAAUACGUAGGGGGCGAGCGUUGUCCGGAUUUAUUGGGCGUAAAGAGCUCGUAGGCGGUUCAACAAGUCGGUCGUGAAAGUUCAGGGCUCAACCCUGAAAUGUCGAUCGAUACUGUUGUGACUAGGAUACGGCAGAGGUGAGUGGAAUUCCGAGUGUAGCGGUGAAAUGCGUAGAUAUUCGGAGGAACACCAAUUGCGAAGGCAGCUCACUGGGCCGCUAUCGACGCUGAGGAGCGAAAGCUAGGGGAGCAAACAGGAUUAGAUACCCUGGUAGUCCUAGCCGUAAACGAUGGAUACUAGAUGUAGGAAUUGGUUUAACGAUUUCUGUAUCGUAGCUAACGCGUUAAGUAUCCCGCCUGGGGAGUACGGUCGCAAGACUA
rnacentral:rRNA from 1 species